rnacentral:lncRNA from 1 species
CCCAGGGAAACUUGGAGAUGCAUGAGAGAGGCAGGCUGCCUCUGUCCCUGCCCUGACAAAUGGGAUGCUAAUACAAAGGGUCUCUGUUAACUCCCCUGCCCCCUCAAACACACACACCUGCUGCUCCUGGGCUGUUCUGAUGGCACGGUAUCCUGGGAAGGAGCUUUCCAGAUCCAUAGCCCUGAAGAGAGAAGAGAGAAGAUCUCACGGACUGUUGAUCUUUCACCUUUCCCUCUCUGCUGUCCCCAACCUGUCAUCUGUGCCACAGAACUGAGGACCUAGUUGGAGAGACAGACAGGUGAGAUAGAUGGCUGAGAGAGGGACCAAACUGCCCCACCCCCAGCCAGCCCUUAAGAACCUCCUUUUAAAAUUGCUUUGCAUCAUAUUUCUCUCCCUGCUCAGCCCCACUGGCUCCAGCAG